rnacentral:rRNA from 1 species
CACGUAGGCGGAUUUGUAAGUCAGGGUGAAAUCCCGAGGCUCAAUCUCGGAACUGCCUUUGAUACUGCAAAUCUCGAGUCCGGAAGAGGUGAGUGGAAUUCCUAGUGUAGAGGUGAAAUUCGUAGAUAUUAGGAAGAACACCAGUGGCGAAGGCGGCUCACUGGUCCGGUACUGACGCUGAGGUGCGAAAGCGUGGGGAGCAAACA